GUGUCAGCAGCCGCGGUAAUACAGAGGGUGCUAGCGUUAAUCGGAUUUACUGGGCGUAAAGCGUGUGUAGGCGGUUUGCUAAGUCGGAUGUGAAAGCCCUGGGCUCAACCUGGGAAUUGCAUUCGAUACUGGCAAGCUAGAGUACGGUAGAGGGUGGCGGAAUUCCGGGUGUAGCGGUGAAAUGCGUAGAUAUCCGGAGGAACACCGAUGGCGAAGGCAACCACCUGGGCCUGUACUGACGCUGAGACACGAAAGCGUGGGGAGCAAACAGGAUUAGAUACCCUGGUAGUCC
rnacentral:rRNA from 1 species